rnacentral:lncRNA from 1 species
AAAUAGACAUAAGAUGGUGACAAAAUGACAACAAAUAUACCAUUUUACAUCUAAUUAUAUUCUUUAAAAAAUGAGAAACCAGUAAGAUUAAUCACAAUAGGAAUUCUCAUUGAAGAUCAGACACAAGUUAAAGGUCCAAAAGCCAAACAUACAUGCCAGACAACAACUACUGAGAAUAAAAAGUUUCAGACACUUGAAAUGACAUGAUAAACAAUGACCUCAAGAAUCCAUAACAAAUGCCAGAUUCACCCACAAGAUUAAUUCCCUUCACCUAAUCUACUUAAACAAGCUCCCUACUAUUUCUUCUUGAUGUUAUAACUUUCCGAUUUCUCGAAAUUCCCUCCACCCGCCGCCUGUGCUGCUUUCCUUGCCGCCUUUUCUUGAAGUGCCUUUGCAUCCCUGUUGAGAUAUUAAACACAACAUCCGUGUUAGGAACACAAGCUAAUCGCCCUAAAACACGAGACUUUUGGAGAAAAUUGGCGAAGGAGGAACCUUUCUCGUCUUUGUUCAGGAGUUAAUCCAUCAUUCUUAGGUUGCUUGGUCUUGUGAUUUUCCCUGGCUUGAGCCCUUUCACGAUAUCUAUCUCUCUGGUUCCCGCGUUAGCUUAAGUUAAGGUCAAAACAGGUAGGGAUCGAAUUAAAGUAUGGCAACAUCUAACCAAAGAGAAGGAAAAAAAAACUAAUCUUUGGACCCCAUAGCUGAAGGUAAGAUCACGAGCUUAUGAAGAAUGAAAAUUUAAACUUGACGAAUCCAACCUUUAAAGUUCUUAGCACUGAAUUCAUUGUAUUUUUUUAAUUAUGAAUUCAAAAUUUAAUAUUCAUUGAUAUUUUAAUAACUUUUCACAUAUAUAUUCCCCGUAGAAAAUAGUGGUUCACUUGAACUCACUUUAUAUAGGCUGCAUUCGCCUCUUAUCUGAAGUAUUAUCAAUAUGAGAGAUCACAAUUGAAAGGGCUCAAAUUAAAUCCCCCGACCCCACCUGAUUUCUUAGCAACCAGACGAAUGGAGAAAGAAUCUUGUUUAUCGUUUGACAAAAAUAUGCAUGAAUGUCAGAAAGAUCAUGUUAUGAAAGAAUGGUUAAUUAAAUAGUACGAGAUAUUAUACUUUUAACAAAGGCUCUAUUUUUAGAUUCUUCCCCCAAUUUCUAGGCAACCAACCAAAAGGAUCAAAUGAGCUUGUACAUGAAUAAGCACCAAUAGAAAAAAUAAGAGCUUACCCCAGAAAAAGUUCUAUCUUGAGAUAAUAGUAAGGUUGCGCACGCACUAUCCUCCUCGUACCCCUUAUGGGAUUACACGGGGUUUGUUAUUGUUGUACUCUUACCCGGCGGCGGAGGCAGAAUUUUUGCUAAGGGGUUCAAAAUAGAAAAGUUAAAAAAUUAAAAAAGAAUGUGGCCAGAAUUGAACCAAGGAUCUCUUACAAAGGUUUUGAACCCGAGCUAUGCUUUUGGACAAUAUGAAGGAGAUUCAAAAUAAAAUAUAUAAAGUCAUAAAAUAGAUUUUGCCUUAUAUGUAAAGUGUAAUUUUUCGACGGCAGUAUCAGAGUAAAUCACUUUCCGCCCUCCUAAAUCCGCCCUUACCCAAUUUUAGGCAAACAACCCAAAAUAACUAAAAUCUAAGCGACCAAACAAAUGAAAAAAGAAAGAACCUUGUUUAUGAAAAGGGAAAGAAAAAACCGAUGAAGAUUAGCAUGAAGAAAAUCAGAGAAAAGAAACAUAUCAGAAGGAUAUGAGACAUUCCCAAUUCUCCAACAGCCAAACAAAAUUAGAUGGAUAAAUAGCUCUAGACAAGAUCCUGGAACCAAAACACAAACCAAAAAAAAAAAAAAAGGAGGAAAUUUUAGAAGAAAAGAAAACCAUCACCGAAUUACACCCUAACAGAACCGAACGAAAUUGACAGAUGAGAAAUAAUAAUUCGUGUAAAAGAAAUUGGGGUUUAUCUGAUUGAGCUUGGAUUAGAAGUUGUUUGCUUAAGAUCGACCUUGAAAUUUGAGAACAAACUUCAAAGCAGCAGAAUGAUAUUGAGAAGUUGGGUUAUUUGGAAAUGCCAGGGUUUAGGGAAGUAGGUGAUUUAUAGUGUAAGAUCAGAAGCAUCGAGAAGUCACGGUUUCUCUUUUUCCUCUUCACGUUUUAUUCCACUGAGCGUAUAAAAUGUGAGGUUAGACAAAAUUUUAGCUUUAGAAACUUCUGCGAGUAAUUUGUUUC